rnacentral:rRNA from 1 species
GACGAACGCUGGCGGCGUGCUUAACACAUGCAAGUCGAACGGAAAGGCCCUGCUUUUGUGGGGUGCUCGAGUGGCGAACGGGUGAGUAACACGUGAGUAACCUGCCCUUGCCUUUGGGAUAACUUCAGGAAACUGGGGCUAAUACCGGAUAGGAGCUCCUGCUGCAUGGUGGGGGUUGGAAAGUUUCGGCGGUUGGGGAUGGACUCGCGGCUUAUCAGCUUGUUGGUGGGGUAGUGGCUUACCAAGGCUUUGACGGGUAGCCGGCCUGAGAGGGUGACCGGCCACAUUGGGACGGAGAUACGGCACAGACUCCUACGGGAGGCAGCAGUGGGGAAUAGUGCACAAUGGGAGGAAGCCUGAUGCAGCAACGCCGCGUGCGGGAUGACGGCCUUCGGGUUGGAAACCGAUUUCGCCUGUGACGAAGCGUGAGUGACGGUAAUGGGUAAAGAAGCACCGGCUAACUACGUG